CGGUUCGAACCGGUUUGAGCCGGCUGGAUCCGGUUUGAGCCGGUUUGAUCCGGUUCGAACCGGUUUGAACCGGCUGGGUCCGGUUCAAUCCAGUUUGAUCCGGUUCGGAACCGGUUUGAGCCGGUUCGAGCCGGUUCGAGCCGGUU
rnacentral:ncRNA from 1 species